rnacentral:rRNA from 1 species
AUGCAAAACUUUUAUUAUUAUCCUAAGAAGUCACCGCCUUCAGUAUCAUUUCAUUUAUAUGAUGAAUUCAGGGAAAUGUCUUUACAUGAUUUUUGCGCGGUAUGUAGGAUACCCUUUGAGGGAAAAUUAGAGGAACCACAUCCUAGGGAUGUGGAUGGCUUUGUUAACACUAUCACUGUAGGGGAUCCAAAGAAGGGUUCCGAUGCGAGAAUCUCUAGUAUACACUUUCCUGCUUUACGCUACUUUGCCAUAUUUGCUAGUAGAUGCUUGAUUGGUCGUGGAAAUAGUGGAAACUUCAGCGUCCCAGAUAUUAUUAUUAUAUUCCAUGCCUUGUUUGGUGAUAAUAGUUUUAGUAUGGAUGCCGUUAUUGCUAAACAUCUAAACCUGAAUCGUACAAAAGGCCCCGUCUUUGGAGGUAUCUAUGCUGCGCGUCUUGCUAGACAUUUUGGGAUACCUAUUAGGCACUAUGAGGAAUAG